CAGACAAUUUAGUUAAAAAUGGUAACAAUAACUACUUCUUGCCUGGGCUAUUCAUAGUUCAGGAGGUAGGAUUGGUUUGUGCAGAUUGGUCAAGGUUACCUAAAUGGCUAAUUUAACAUUAUACAUUUUUGUCUGUACACAGUGUUCAAGGUGACAGUGGUCCUAAUUGGGAUUAUUUCUGGGAAGAUUGUAUCCCCUGCUUAUUAUCCUUUUAAACUUGUCAGGCAGGAAAAUUCUAGAACAAGGAGAGAUUGAUAUUAUUCUUGGCAUUUUCUUUGAAUCUCUAAUAACUGGCAGAAAUGAUCUGUAGGCCUUCCCAAGAUCUAUGAGUGUCGCAAACAUGGUGGCUUUUGGGAGAACAUGUUGCGUGCAUCUUAAUAUCAGGGCCUUUACCUGGUUUCUGCUCUGAAGGUGAGUCAGCCCAGCGAUGAACCCAAAACUCCGAAAUUAACAUGUCAGUAUUUCCGGUGUUUCUGUAAAGGACGCAAACCACAUGUCCUUCAAGGUCAGCAGACUGUACUUUAUCUGGGGUUCCCCUUUCUUGUGAUUUCUGGUGGCAGGGCACAUCGUCACCUCACAUGAAUUCUUUUCCUUUUUGAUAAUCUGACUUCAACCCCCAGACCUCACCAGCUUGCUGGCCAGGGCUGGGCAGAGAGGGCGGCACGUGCCAUGCUUUGGGGUUGCCUGUGGAGUUGCUGUUCUGGUUUAGGUGUUAGCUGGGGCUGAGAGAGAGAGAUGAAGGGAACAGAAGGCCGAGGAAUCCACGGUCACCCCCUAGCUAGGAAUUGCUGACACAGCUCCUCUGUCUGGGUGGGGAAAGAGAACCCAGCCUCUAGGGUGGGGGAUUAGAUAUCUUCGUUUCCCAAGCCCAUGCAUUAAAGCACUGGUGUCACUUUAGAGGUGGAAAGUCUUGUGUUGCAACACACAGGUCAGUCACAGGUUAUUGCUGUGACGGUCUGAGCAGCCUUGGUGACCAACGGUCCCUCUUUGCCCAGGACUGAGGGGUUUCCCCCAAGAUGCAUGACGUACAGUGCUGAAACUGGGGCUGUCCCGGGCUGUCAGGAACAGCUGGUCACCCUACCCUUGAGUCUACCCCAAUAUUUAAUUCUUGACAUUUCUAGGAAGACAAAGAAGGCUAGUUUAAAAUUUGUUUUGCCUUUCCAAGUCCCUUUCUUCCAAACAUUAAGGUACCCAGAGCCACCUGCAGAGAAAUCAAUAAAAAGGGGUGACGUGUAGUCCAAGGGGGAAGUAGGGAAGAGAGAGCUGUCCCUACAACUGCGCCUUGGAGACUGAAGGAGCAGGGGACAGAGGUCUUUUGGGUGGUUGGUUACGUAUGAACCUUAAUCAUUAGUAGCAUUAUUUUGUUAUCCCAUCAUCCCAUCACCCAAUGCCCUGCUUUAUUCUUCUCAGCAGCCCUUAGUACUGACUUUUAUAUAGAUAUGAUUAUUGGUUUGCUUUCUGUGUGGUCUUCCACAUCCUUUGGAAAAUGAGCUUCAUGAGGACCUGGACUUCAUUUAUUUCUUCUCUGGGUCUUCAGGGCCCAGUAUAUUUCUUGGUACAAAGUAGAUGCUUAAUAGGUAACUAUGGGAUUAAUGAAUGUCAUCCCUACUGGCCUAUGAAGCCUGGUGUGUGGUGAACCAUGUUUUCUAAGCUUGCAUGCAGUAAGGUUUUUAGCAGAUGUUCAAAAAAGCAUUCAGCCUUUUUUUGGGGUGGUGGUGGUGGGGGGGCGGUUUGCUGUUAGUCCUCUUUCAAAUCCAUCUCAAAUACGACCACCAAAUAAAUCUUCCUAAAUUACAUUUUAUUCUUCAUUGCCUGUGUAAAGCCUGGGGUGAUUUCUCACCAACAUGAUGAAUUUCUGGUUUCUGCAUGUUGAAUUUCUUGGAAUCCAGGACUUCUAUGAUCUGAUCUUCUCUACUCAUCUAACUUUCUCCCCUGCUCAUCUCCAACAAGAACCCUUAGCUCCACAGUAAGGAAGUGAAUUAUUCUGCAAUGACAUCAGCUUGAAGGAAGACCCCAAGAUCCAGAUGAGGAUGCAACCCACCAGACAGCUUGAUUUAUUAGCUUCAUGAGACCCCGUGGCGCUGUGCCAGACGUCUGACUACAGAAGUCUCAUGGGUCCUGGGAGUCUGCAGUCCUUAUGGGACAGAGUGGAAUGCAGAAAGCACAGAUUCUCAGGUUGGGACCUGGGGCCUCCUGAGAAGAGUUGGAGAGGAGCAGCCCAGCCACUACUGCCCCGGUGUUGUUGUCCUCACUCACAGUGGCUUCCUGUUGGUAUGAGCGGCAAACCCGAAUGGUAUGUACCAGAGUCUCGGGGAUGAGGGAUCUGGGGGCCAGCACCUUCUCCAUCUGAGCCCACACAAGAGGGGCCGUCAGUAUGGAAAACAAAUAAAAUGUGGUAUCUGUUCUAGAUGUUUCUGCAGUGUCUCCCAGGAGACCUCAGUCAACAUCAGUGCUCCAAGAGAGGGAUCAAGGUCUCAAAGAGACAUAUUUAGAUUGUCUUGGUUAGGUUUGGGAAACAGGAAGUUCAGAGUCUGGACUCUGGUCAAGGAUUCCCAAGGGUGGAGUCAGGUAAUUACAGGUGUAAUUAUAGGUAAGGGUCUGGGACCACUUACUAGCUGGGACCAAGCUAUUGAAAAUGUGCCUCAUUUUCUCCAUCUGUAAAGGGAAGAGAAUUGAGUGUCUACCUCCAAAGAAAUGUAGUGGGUGUUAACUGAGUUAAUAGAUAUAAUGCCUGGCUUGCUGUGAGCACCCGGUUAAAUGUUAGCUGUUGUUAAUUUAGGCUGACUGCCUGAUUUCUCCUGGACCUCAGGCCUAGGCCAAUGUGCGCCGUUGUCCGUUGGGCAGACAUUCAGGUUGGGGAGGUGAGAGUGGGGGUAGAGAGAAGGGUCUGGAAUAGAGUCACUGCAUGACAGGCAGCCCAGGCUCUUCCUGAGCUUGCUGCUGGCUUCUGUCCGAGGCCGGUGCCUAUCUGCUCAGUAACACAGCAGAUCCACUCUCUCUGGUUCCUGGGGAGGCACACAGAAGAAUGACUGAUUGUCUGGGCACUUGAGCGGUUGUGCUGGAGUGAGGGCCACGCCAGCUUGAGUCACGUGGCGAAUCCAGCACCACUCCUGGAGCCCACCCUGUCCCACAGACAAGGACUCAGCCAUGACUCACUGUAUGCAGGUGAGGCCUGAGCCUUAGUCACUGGCGCCCCUUCCUCCAACACCUGAGCAUCAGCAUGCACAGCCUUGACCAGGCUCUCUUAUCCUUCCUAACCUCUUUUCUCCUUUUCCUCCUCCUCUCCUCCUUUCCUCACCCUUAUCCUUUGACAUCUCAUUGAUCAGAUCUUGACUGAUCUCGUUAGCAACUUGGACAGAUGGAAAACGGAGACAGUAGCUUCCACUGCCACUCCGUUCCCUGUCAGAGACACUGCCAGGAACGCUGAUGAGCAGGCCGAGGAGGAGCCUGCCUACAUUAGCAUGGGGGCAGUUCUGUCAUCUGAGGGAAGCUGCCUCAAAAGAGGGCCCCCAACCCCCGCAGCUGACUGAUGUAUGAAUUACCACUAUUAGCUGUUCAUUCUAGUGACCAAAAGCCCAGACUGUGCCCUCUGAGAGGUAACUACACUGACAAGGGCAUGGAGACUCAUUAACAACAUCAAUGAUUUACUCUUCAUUGUGAAUACAUUCAUUCUACAUCUAUCAAACACCUAAUAUAUGCCAGGAAUUAUUUCUAGGCAGUUGAAUAAUAGUAGUGAACAAAAUGGACAAAAAUCUCUGCCUUCUUGGACACCACAUUCUGGUGAGGGAGACAGAAAAUAAGCAUGAUAGGUAGGUAAGUUAUAGAGUUAGUUAGAAGGAAGUAAGUGUUGAAAAUAAAACCCCACAAAACCCCACCCCCAA